AGCGUGGAGACAGGUGGUGCAUGGCUGUCGUCAGCUCGUGUCGUGAGAUGUUGGGUUAAGUCCCGCAACGAGCGCAACCCUCACCCCUUGUUGCCACCAGGUCAUGCUGGGCACUCUAGGGGAACUGCCCCGGUCAACGGGGAGGAGGGCGGGGAUGACGUCAAGUCAUCAUGCCCCUUACGUCCUGGGCUACACACGUGCUACAAUGGCCGGUACAAAGGGAUGCAAUACCGCGAGGUAAAGCUAAACCCAAAAAGCCGGUCUAAGUUCAGAUUGGAGUCUGCAACUCGACUCCAUGAAGGAGGAAUCGCUAGUAAUCGCGUAUCAGCACGACGCGGUGAAUACGUUCCCGGGCCUUGUACACACCGCCCGUCACACCACGAAAGCCAGCUGUACUCGAAGUCGCUGAG
rnacentral:rRNA from 1 species